rnacentral:lncRNA from 1 species
UGCAUCCCACCGAUGCCACGCACCUCACCUAACAGUUAUUGGUAACAUACACACCGACGCGUAGGCAACUAUUUAUCCAAUUACUUCUCUAAGCAUAUUGCAGCAAUUUUGUCUCUAAGUCAUAUGGGAUCACCUAACAGUUAUUGUCCAUACUCCUUAGUUAAGUCUGACCCACUGUUCACAAGCAGGUGCAAGACCGUCAUUGGGUCCCUCACCUAACAGUUAUUGGGCCCAACCCCAUCCUUAUCUUGAAGCA